AAGUCGUAACAAGGUUUCCGUAGGUGAACCUGCGGAAGGAUCAUUAUCAAAACAGCGGACUUCGGUCCUUGCUGCACCCUUGUCUUUUGCGUACCGUAUGUUUCCUCGGCGGGCUUGCCUGCCGGUUGGACAAUAUCAAACCUUUUUGUAGUUGCAAUCAGCGUCAGAAAAUAAUAAUAAUUACAACUUUCAACAACGGAUCUCUUGGUUCUG
rnacentral:misc_RNA from 1 species